rnacentral:rRNA from 1 species
GUUGAACGCUGGCGGCGUGCCUUACACAUGCAAGUCGAACGGUAACAGGUCUUCGGAUGCUGACGAGUGGCGAACGGGUGAGUAAUACAUCGGAACGUGCCUAGUAGUGGGGGAUAACUACUCGAAAGAGUGGCUAAUACCGCAUGAGAUCUACGGAUGAAAGCAGGGGAUCGCAAGACCUUGUGCUACUAGAGCGGCCGAUGGCAGAUUAGGUAGUUGGUGGGAUAAAAGCUUACCAAGCCGACGAUCUGUAGCUGGUCUGAGAGGACGAUCAGCCACACUGGGACUGAGACACGGCCCAGACUCCUACGGGAGGCAGCAGUGGGGAAUUUUGGACAAUGGGCGCAAGCCUGAUCCAGCAAUGCCGCGUGCAGGAUGAAGGCCUUCGGGUUGUAAACUGCUUUUGUACGGAACGAAAAGCCCUGGGUUAAUACCUUGGGGUCAUGACGGUACCGUAAGAAUAAGCACCGGCUAACUACGUGCCAGCCGCCGCCGUAACAC